rnacentral:rRNA from 1 species
GACGAACGCUGGCGGCGUGCCUAAUACAUGCAAGUCGAACGAGAACCUGGAGCUUGCUCCAGGGGACAGUGGCGAACGGGUGAGUAACACGUGAGAAACCUGCCCCAGAGACCGGGACAACCAUUGGAAACGAUGGCUAAUACCGGAUGCCUUCACAUGAUCGCAUGAUCGAGUGAAGAAAGGCUCUGGCGCUCUGGGAGGGUCUCGCGGCCUAUCAGCUAGUUGGUGGGGUAACGGCCUACCAAGGCAUCGACGGGUAGCUGGUCUGAGAGGACGAUCAGCCACACUGGGACUGAGACACGGCCCAGACUCCUACGGGAGGCAGCAGUAGGGAAUAUUGCGCAAUGGGGGAAACCCUGACGCAGCAACGCCGCGUGUGGGAUGACGGCUUUCGGGUUGUAAACCACUUUCAGUGAUGACGAAAAUGACGGUAAUCACAGAAGAAGGUCCGGCCAACUACG